rnacentral:rRNA from 1 species
AAUCGAACCCGGAGAUAGCUGGUUCUCCUCGAAAUAGCUUUAGGGCUAGCCUCGUAUUAGUCUGGUGGAGGUAGAGCACUGAAUUUCCUAGGGGGCGUCAAAGCCUACCGAAGAAUAUCAAACUCCGAAUGCCAUACAGAUGAUGUACGGGAGUCAGACUGCACGAGAUAAGUUGGGUAGUCAAAAGGGAAAGAGCCCAGACCACCAGCUAAGGUCCCAAAGUGCGUGUUAAGUGGUAAAGGAUGUGGGAUUUCGAAGACAACUAGGAUGUUGGCUCAGAAGCAGCCAUACAUUCAAAGAGUGCGUAAUAGCUCACUAGUCGAGAGGUCCUGCGCCGAAAAUGUCCGGGGCUAAAACACAACACCGAAGCUUAGGAAUUCUAAUGAAUUGGUAGAGGAGCAUUGAAGACGGAACGAAGCCAUACCGGAAGGAAUGGUGGACUGUCUUGAAGAGAGAAUGCCGGAAUGAGUAGCGAGAUUGAAGUGAGAAUCUUCAAGGCCGAAUAUCUAAGGUUUCCAGGGUAAAGCUGAUCUGCCCUGGGUAAGUCGGGGCCUAAGGCAAGGUCGAAAGACGUAGUCGAUGGAUAACAGGUUGAAAUUCCUGUACUGCAUCAAAUCAGAAAUGUGGGGACACAUGAGGGAAGCAUGAGCCGGAAAAGGAAAGUCCGGUACAAGCGCAGCAGAGGACAGAUAGGCAAAUCCGUCUGUCAACUCGAGGGCGCGAUGUGGAGCGAACCAAAGUAGCGAAGCAUGUGGAGCUUGUGUCGAGAAAAGCCGCUAUUGUGUUUGAUGUACCCGUACCGUAAACCGACACAGGUGGAUGAGGAGAGAAUCCUAAGGCCGGCGGGAGAAGCAUUGUUAAGGAACUCGGCAAAAUGACCCCGUAACUUCGGGAGAAGGGGUGCCCUGUGAAAGCAGGGCCGCAGAGAAUAGGCUCAAGCAACUGUUUAGCAAAAACACAGGUCUAUGCGAAACCGAAAGGUGAGGUAUAUGGGCUGACGCCUGCCCGGUGCUGGAAGGUUAAGAGGAGAGGUUAGCGCAAGCGAAGCUUUGAAUUUAAGCCCCAGUAAACGGCGGCCGUAACUAUAACGGUCCUAAGGUAGCGAAAUUCCUUGUCGGGUAAGUUCCGACCCGCACGAAAGGCGUAAUGAUUUGAGCGCUGUCUCGACAAUGCAUCCGGUGAAAUUGAAGUACCAGUGAAGAUGCUGGUUACCUGCGCCAGGACGGAAAGACCCCAUGGAGCUUUACUCCAGCUUGAUACUGGGAUUCGGUAUUGCAUGUACAGGAUAGGUGGGAGGCUGUGAAAUGGUAACGCCAGUUGCCAUGGAGCCGCUGUUGGGAUACCACCCUUGCAGUAUUGGAUUUCUAACCUGCAGCCGUGACCCGGCUGGGGGACAAUGUCUGACGGGGAGUUUGACUGGGGCGGUCGCCUCCGAAAGGGUAUCGGAGGCGCUCAAAGGUUCCCUCAGAAUGGUUGGAAACCAUUCGAAGAGUGCAAAGGCAGAAGGGAGCUUGACUGCGACACCGACGGGUGGAGCAGGUACGAAAGUAGGACUUAGUGAUCCGGUGGUAUAAAGUGGGAUUGCCAUCGCUCAACGGAUAAAAGCUACCCUGGGGAUAACAGGCUUAUCACUCCCAAGAGUUCACAUCGACGGAGUGGUUUGGCACCUCGAUGUCGGCUCAUCGCAUCCUGGGGCUGUAGUAGGUCCCAAGGGUUGGGCUGUUCGCCCAUUAAAGCGGUACGCGAGCUGGGUUCAGAACGUCGUGAGACAGUUCGGUCCCUAUCCGGCGUGGGCGUAGGAUAUUUGAGAGGAGCUGUCCUUAGUACGAGAGGACCGGGAUGGACGGACCGCUGGUGUAUCUGUUGGCUACCAAAGCCAUGGCAGAGUAGCCAAGUCCGGAAGGGAUAAACGCUGAAGGCAUCUAAGCGUGAAGCCCCCCUCAAGAUGAGAUAUCCCAUAACAUAAGUUAGUAAGACCCCUUGAAGACGACGAGGUAGAUAGGCAGAAGGUGGAAGUGUGGUGACAUAUGGAGCUGAUCUGUACUAAUAGGUCGAGGGCUUAACCAA